AACAGGGGGUUAAAAAAUAAGUUUGUGGUGUGGGGCAGAAACAAGUUCUGAUUUUAAAUAGCAUGCAGACUUCUGGACCACCUUAGUCUGAAAGAUAAUGAGCUGGAUGGCUAGAACAAAACACAAGAAAUUUUGUUCUAAGUGAAAUAUCUUGACAUGUAAAGAUAUCACAUACAUACAUUUCCCCUGAUCAGUCUAACUGUCAUAAAAUUGUGCUAAUAUUGCAUCUAUGCUAAUUAGUCCCUUACUGCCUUUCCACCUCUCUUGUAUAGUACCUGCCUAGGAGUACCUGGACUGUCCCCUGCAGCACUGAUGACAGCGUGACCUGCCAUGCAGCCAGGACAUAUGAGAGAGAGCCCAGGUGUGCCACCACUCCUGGGGCAUAGGGCUCUGGUAAGCUCAGUUGUGUCCAGGAAGCUGUUAUGACACAUGCAUCUUCCCUUUCACCCUCAUCUCUAUCAAAGGAAAUAAGACAUUUCAAAACAGAGGCUCACAUGGGCUAGUGGAUCAAUGUAAAAUCUCUUCUUUUGGUUAGAGUCUAAGAAGUAUUUUCAGCCCUGCAUUCUCAUUCUCUCUUUUUUUUCUUUUCUUUUUACUGUUUUUUUUUUUAGUAUCUCUUCUGAGAGAGCUUAAGAAAGAGCCUUUAAUUAGCAAGUAAAUGAAGUCUCUUGCCACUAAGGAGUAGAUUUAGAAGAUCCCUCUAAUUACUGGAACCAGAUUGAUUGCAAAUACCAGUUUGCUACCUGUUCCAGUGAAAUGAGGUUCUUGUAAAAUGUUACAAAAAGCUUUCAUUUGCAUCAUCCCUCCACUCCAGCCAAUGUUGCUAUUACAUAAAGGGAGGACUUGUUUAAAUCCGUAUGUUCAUGUAGUUCAGUUGUUUGAACUGGAGAGGCAGAAGAACUUUCUUACUGACAUUUUUCUAGAACUCCUAUCGAGCUGUUUUUCUUGUCUAACAGAAUUACAGAAUCAUUUAUGUUAGUAAAGACCUCUGAGAUUAUUGAGCCCAACCUUGUCAACUAGAUUGACAUUAAGUGCCAUAUCCAGUCAUUUCUUGAAUACAAAUCUUCCAAGUAAUCACUGAGAGCUCCCAAUGUAUUGCUGUUUUCCUCCCAUGCUUUGCCCUCACUACUUCAAUAUAUAAAAUUAUCUUAACUUCCCUUAAUGCCCACCCUUUUUGGAAUCAUCUAGUUUAAAUUUACCUUACCUGUUUAGUAUGAAACAAGUCUUCUCUGCCUGACUGCAUGAGGAAGUCACAAGUCAUUAACAGCUGUGUUAAACUACACGGUGGUAAUAAACAAUCUCCCUACAAUGAUAUGUCUUGCUAAGGUGGGAAAAAAAUAUACUGAAUGCUGCAAACUAAGAAUGAUGAUUGAUCUUGGAGAUAGCUGAAGGACUUUGCCCUGUCCCAAAAAUAAUUUACAGUUGCCUGGAGAAAGUCCAAACUAAUAUCAAAUACUUUCAUUUGAAAUAUCAGCUCCCCUCCAGAAGCAGCUUCACUGGAGUUGCUUGCUAUCAAUGCCAGAAGGUAUUGUUAGAACAGGUUUGACCAGUUACUGCAAUUCAGAGAACUGUUUAAAUAGUUAUAUACUAAUGUUGCUGGAUAAAUCUGUGUGAAAGUACCCCUAUUGCUUCAGUCACCACCACAGUUUUCUAAGAUCAACCAAGAUUUUUUUGGUAAGAUAAUUCUGAUCCAAGAAUUACUGAGCAGCAUUGGUGCCUGAGUUUAGCCCAAACACUGUGUCAGCAGCAGCAGUGCCCAAAUUCCCAGCUCUACAAGUAUGGGAUUGAGAACUACUAAGGGAGCAGGAAGAAAAUGUUUAACUGAAACAGGUAUGGAAGAAUACGAGAUCCUGUGACUCUUCCUGCAGGAGAAUGCUCUCCUGCUCUUUCUCUUUCUCUUGCUUCAGAGAGUGUCUCAGUCAGCUCUGCUUUUAGUUGUAAUUUCAAAACAGCUAGUAAUGAGCUGUGGAGAAGGCUUUCAGCUUUUAGUAAUGACCAAAUUAUAGAAGGAAGGGAUAGAGAGGAUCAAUAGCUAUUGAUCAGGAGCAAUUCACAGACAGAGAGGAGAGCAGUGUGGAGGCAUUCAGUAGUAGGAGGAGAACAACAGAGAAGAUCCAGUCCUACUGGGGUUAACAGUUUCAGCAUCUCUAUUAUCAAAUACAACAAAAGAAAAAUGUAAUCUGUUAUUACUGUAAUACCAUAUGCCAAUAUUUAUUACCUCACAGCAUGCAGAUGUUUCAACCUAUGCCCAGAGCAAGAUGUCCAGCAUAAGAAACAAGAAUACAAAUGUUUUCAGAUGUCAGAGCAUAAGUAAACAGUGGAAAGAUCAAGUGGAGUUACAUUUCAGGGGCUCUGCUGUUAUAGUGCUCUGGAGGAAUUACAGACAUCAGGCUAUCGCUAUUGAUUCUCAAGUGCUUAUUAUGAUGCCUACUGAUGCAUUUCUGGUUCUUUUCUUCCUCUUUACUGGAGAAUAUCAUGGGAAUGUUCUAUUUUCCUUCUUUCUCCAAAAUAUGCUCAGAAUCAAACAGACUGAAAGCAGAUCAGUGGAUACAUCACCGUCUUACUUGGCCUACCAGCCAGGUAUUGGCAAUGACAUCUGUCUGAUUUUAUCUCACAGACCACUUCAACAAGCACUUGAGGUCCUAAUAUAUUAUUCCAGGCUUCAUAUUGCAGAGAUUGAUGCGCACUUUAGUGUCAAAAGAGUAAUGAUCAAGUUUUCACUGGAGGAAUGUGCUGGUUUUAUAUUAAUUGAUUUUUUUGGUGAGGAGGAAGUGAGCCAGCCACGGAAGUGAUUUUCUAAGAGAUACUGCUAAGAGCUUCCUCUGUGCCCGGCAAAAACCAAUUGCUAGUUGUCUCUCAGAAUAGGCAUGCUGAUGACCCAGUUAAAGAGCUGAACACGCCUCUGUGAGGUUCACAUUUUAAACCAAACAACCCUAGAAAAAGCUCUCUUCCUUCCGGCUUUUGAAGAGAGGAGUUCCCUGCCGCGGCCUGGUGGGGCUGGGCCGGGCCGCGGCCGCUGCCAUGCUGCCAACACUCAUCCCAGCCCGCGCUGAGCUGGGGUGUGCCGGGCCCGGGAGCAGCGCUGGGCUGGGCCACAGCAUGGGCUCCUGAGCGUCUGCCUGGCCAUUUCCUGCUGCCGCUGGGUUCCCACACAGCCCCUCAGCGUGGCCGCUGGAAUCAUGCUGAAAAGAGCCGUCCGGGUACCACAGGAGGUUAUGCAGCCGAAAUCAAUGCUGCGAGCCUCCAAGGCCGCUCCCAGUGGGAAUCGCAGGAGCAACUGCGAGAGGCCAGUCCCUCAUGCAAGGCUUGGGUAAGAUUAACUCUUUUAGUGCACAGAUGACACCUGUAGACCUCAAUCCUCUCUAGAGUGAGAGAAAUGGAAUGACUGAAGAACAGCAUGAAGACACAAAGGUCAGUGAAGAAGGAGUCAAGUCCCAGAUGGAAGGAGAAUGAGGAGAUGCCUUAGUCUUGGGCUGAAAUUCUCUUCUAAGACUAGGCUGAAGAUAUGAUCAAUACAUCAGACUUUUUCCCUGUAACUCAUGGAAUGUAUUUUGGGGGAAUAUAGUUCUAACCACAGCCAUGAACAGAGGCAUCCACACUGAAGCAUAUGUUGGAGUAGGUGUGAUCCAAAUGAGAAGUUUGAAUAGAGAGAGGUAAAGGUGAUGAAGACCCUUUGCUCCCAGGGAAGAAGAAGGAGAAGACCUCUGUUCUUGGAGCUGAAGAUAACCUCAGAGAUAGAUGAAGAGAACCUUUGUUUUUCAGCAGCACAUCCUUAAAAUAGCACCCCAAUAAGCUGGCAUGGCCCAUGAAUGCAGCUGUGGGAAGGCUGAAAAAAGAUGGGAGGAACUUCACCAUUGCAGAUUUCCAGAUGGCUGCUGUUCAUGGAAAUGAAAAGCCACAAGAGAACUGUUUCUUGUGGAGAAGUCUCCAUGGAAUGGCAAGAGAGACUCCUCUCCAUAAGAGAACUGAAGAAAGAUUAUUCUAGAGGUGGUAAACUGAAAGUCCCAGGUUUUGUCUCUUUACAUUGUCAGUGGUAAAGAAAAGAAAGUGUGGGGGGAGUAGAGGUGUUCUGAAGGUUUAUUCUGAUUUCUUAGUUUUCUUUUAAUUUUUUUAAAUAAAGUUUUCUGUAUACCUUUUAAAGUUUGAGCCUGCUUUGCUCUCUGCUUAAUCCUAUAUCAGAGCAGAAAAUGAGUAAAUGAUUCUAGUAGAUGCGCUGGCAUUUGGCCAGCACAAAACCCACUAUAUCUAAUUGAUGCAUUGGCUGGGAAAUCUCAGAUUGGCAAACCAAAACCACUACAAGGAAGAAAAAGGCUAACUGCUGAAACUGAUUUUCUUAGAUAAAACAAUAGCAGGAAGGUUAGUGGCUUAGUCUUUGGGCUCAUAAAUCUCUAGAGUUGACUGAAUUCUUGUUUCUCAUAUGUAAACUGCAAAUGGGUUUCCCAGUUGUGUGGUGUUAAUACAGCAGAACUUCACGAGAGUUCUUCAUGUGAAGAAGUCACUGAAGAUAACAGGUUGCUGUACAUCAUCUGAUCUGCAGGUUCCCAUACCUGCUUCUCCUCCAUGGCCCGGGUUUCCAAAUGUUAUAAAUUGUCCAGGAUUGUUCUGAAGAAAACUUCAAGAUACGCUGACUUGAGGGAUUGAGGGCUGAAACCCUAAUUUUGUUCAACACCACCAACAUGCAGCCACUACUGGUGACAAGAAAGGCCGUUUCCCCUCCUUUUUUUCUUUCUCCCCACCUGAAAAUCAUCUUGAAAUCAGAUAGGAUCCAUGUUUUAGGAUCUCCUCUACUCCACCUAGGAGAAUGAAAAUCAAGGGCUGUUGCAAAGGCUGAAACCAGGAGUUGACUUCUUCGAGACUUGUCUCUUGUUCACUUUUUGAACAUGUGCAUGCAGAUGCACAUACAUGUACAUCCAUGCUGAAUGGGGAUAUACUGUCAUUCAGAGUCAUACUAUUUUUUUCUGCUUUUCCUUCACUAUCAGUUGCAGAAACCAUUGUCAUGUGCAGGGUAAUGGUGUCUCUUCUGUCUCAGAGAGAAAGGUAGAAGGAAUACCAGUCUCCGUUGAUUGCUCCCAAGCAAAUGUAUGAAGGAAUAUGAAAGAAUCACCAGAGACCUCUCUCAAAACCCAAUCCUAUCAGACACUGAGGCUGAAACCUUGCUGGUGUUGCAAUUGAAGGAUGUUCUGCAGAGCACAGAGGGCCAAUCACUUGUGUGCACUCAGGUGUAUUACAGGUACUUUGUAAGUGCCUACAGCAGUACUGGUGUAGAGGGAAUAGCAUUCCAGAAUUAUGGCUGUAAUUUCAGAACAGAUCAACUGCUGACCUAUGCUCCUUUGCUGGCUGUUCUGCAAGGCCUUUUCAAUAUAAAUAUGUGAAAAAGACUGUGCUGUUAUACCUGAAGAUUUCCUUAAAACGGAGAAGUUGAAUCCUAUUUGAAAUUUAAAAAUUUACUUCCCCUUCAUCUUUGUGCUUUGAGAUAACUGGAACGUGUAUUGAGCAAUGUUGUGGAAGAUUAGGAAAAGUUAUUUUUGCCAUUUAAAGAGACUGGGAUUUCCUGAGCACUGGCCAGCCCUACAGGUCUGAGUGCACUGUGGGACUCUGUGCUCAAAGCUGCUCAGGCAGGAGGUAUAGUGAGUGUAGGCACUGCCUUCAGCGCAGUCAUUCCUGAUGGCUUGUAAGGAAAAAGGCAGCCAGCUUCACUAGAGCUGUCAGGAGCCUGGGGUCAGAAUGACUGUUCCACAUCCUGCAAAAUUGCCUGCUGUGGCUGUUUGGGAACUUGUUAUUCAUAAGGCUCAAGUAGACCAAGAUUCUACAGUUGCAGCUCUGGGUUAUUGGUCACUGGAGAAUGUCAUAAGAGUAAUUAAUUGAUCUAUUCAAGUUUUGCUGUCUGGGUCACUGAAAACCAGUUAAUUCCUAGGGAGUGUUUUAGGGCCAAUGAUCCUAAAACCCUUUUCUGAUGCACUAAACGCCUGCAGGAGUCUCAUCUGUGACAGCUCAGCGCUAUGUUUCCUUCCUUUUCUGGACUGUGGGCAUGCUGGAACAGGCUAGCGUAGGCAGCAGUCUGUCCAGGCUUAUGGUUGCAGUUGUUGGGCCAACUCAUGGACUGAAGCAUGACAGACACUUUCCAUCUUUAUACACCACCUCCUUAUGGGUACACAAAGCAUGACAUUUAGUUUAAUUGAGGAACAAAUCUGUUUAGUUCUCAGUAUUGUAUCAAGGACCAGAUCUUCUUUGGAAUGCUCUUGAAAUAAUCUGGAUCAACUGUCAAAGUAAGAUAACCUCAAGGUACUUGGUUUCUAAUUGCUAUGAUUUUUUAAAUGGAGAUAGGUAUAUCUUGUACUGGCCCAGACUUCUGUUUAUGUAGAUAAAGUCUAAAUCAGGGCCUCCUGAGAUAUAUCACAACUUUUCCAUGGACUUUGGUGGGAUGCCAGGAACAUUGCUGCUUGAGACAAACUGCUGCUACCUAGGAAAAAACCUGGGCUUAAACUUCAAGGACUUGCACACACAGUCAACGAGACUUUAUUUGCAUGACAACCUCAAUGGUAUCAGCAAAAUGUAAGGAUAAACUUCUGCUUAUCUCCUUUGUAAGAGAAAAUUCUUAAAAAGAUUGAGUUGGACAGUUUUUCCAUAAUAAGAAAUAUUAUUGCAAAAUUCUGAUUUAUUGGAAAGGAAUCUUUCUUGAGAAACAUAGCAACUCUGUUGAAGACAGCUAGCAAAGGCUUCUCACAAAGGAUUGGAGCUUUGAGUGGGUGCCAGAUAAAAGGGAGAGGAAGAAAUGGAGGAGCACACACAUCUGACACUACUGGAUCAGAUCAAAGAUCCUAUUUUUUGUCAGGUUGAAUCUAGAUGCCUAUGGAAAGAGGUUAAGAACAUGGAAUACAUAUGGUGAGCCUUCUUUGCAUACUCUCCAUUGAAAGGCAAUGAGAAGAGAGAGAAGAUGAGCACAUUCAAGUCAGACAGCAGCCCUGGGGUAGUGGCUCUCACCAUCAGGUCCUGAGCCUGGCCUCAGAUCAGGUGUAACAAAAGCUGCAGUCUGCAGCUUCCCUCACUUCCCAGCAAGUGAGUGCCAUGGAGUGUCGCUGACAGUGUGUGUGUGUGCAUCUUUAGCCUUUCAUCAAACAUUCAUUCAGAUUUAAAAAGAAAACAUUUUCCAAAACUGUUCAGUUCCCCAGAAUGUAGAAUUUGCAUGCUGUGGCCAGUCCUGGUCCUGUUCCACAACUCUCACAUGCAAUCAUGCCAGAGUCAGAAGUACCUUUCCCACUCUGGUCGCAGAGAAUUUUGUACAGGAGUGCUGUCUUGAUCAGCUCCUUUGCUCUUCCCAUCAGAUCAUCAGAUAAUUUUCUUCCUCAUGCUCUUGGGUGUGGUAGUACUAUAUCAAAGAAGACCAUUAGCACCUUUGAUACAAAGGUCUAUAAUAAGUGGAAGCAUACAAGGACUGGGAGAUCUGGAUUUCUCUUGCAAGCUCUGAGGCACAUCCACUUGUGUUGCUACCUAUUUUCACUGCUGGACCACCACACUCUUUCUCACCUCAGAGCUUGAUCCCUUCCCCAGUGUUUCAGAAAUGCUGAAUUACCACGAUGGCAGCUGGGAAUACCAGGACACUUGAAAGGAGACAGCCUAUUCUUAAGAGAUUUUCAGUUCCAGAUUUCUGGGCAUACCUCUCUGAAAAGAUCAAUACUACGUGAUUAUUUUUUAAUAUUUUGUAACUUUAAUUACAUUAGCACUUUUUGAGGAAGAGUGGCUUGAGAGACUGAGUUGCUUCUUCAGCUGAGGAAUGGAACAGUGGCUAUGAGAUAGGGAUAGUUUCCUGAGACAUCUGCCAUGCCUCUCACUGUGAUGUCUAACUGACACAUACUGCAACAGCACUGCAAGAAAUCAGAACGCGUCACCAGUGGCUUUGCAACUGGUUAUGCCUUUGUUUACUGCUGACUUUGAUCAAAUUUUUUCUCCAGAUUGACUUAGGAGUCAUUAGCAAUUAAAACUAAGGAAUUUUUUUUUUUUUUUUUUUUUUUUUUUUUACAAAUCAGCGCUGAUUAAGACUGAAAGUCCUGCAAAGAAGGAUGAGAAUAGGGUCUGGCUCAAGCAUGUGUUUGAUUCUGAACAGACCACAAACAAGAAUUGUUUUCUCAGAACCUUUGUGAGUGACACUAAACUACUGCUUACUCUCUUUGAGCCUUUUUUUUCCUGCCUCAGCCUCAAAUUCCUACUUUUGUGUAUGUCCUGGCAGGAUGAACCUACUGAGGUUUGCCAGCAGCCAUAAAACAUAUGGUUCCCUUGGAUUGUUUUUAUCAAUUAGGGUAAAUCAAUCAAAGAAGAUGAAGCCUUACUGCCAGAAGCCCUUUUCCUCAGCAAAGAAACCCAUCUGAUUCCAAGCCCCAGGCAUGACUAAAAUUCUUUGCUAACUUUGACUUUGACACAGUUAAAAUACCAAAAACCUUGUUUCAGUCAUUUUCAUUCUACUCGAGAUAAUCAUAUAGUUUUAAUUCCCCUCCUUACAUCUUCAUGCUGUAAUAUGAGCUGUGGGCUUCAAACACAUACCAUGAAGUAUGCAGAUGAGAAAAAAGUGCUGUGACUUUUUGCAGACAUGUAACUUGCAAGGGGAUGUUUAUGUAAGAUAGAGUAGAGACACAUUUUCCCAGCUAAGAAUUGCACUUUGAAAACAAAGGUAUUAAACUCCAGCUGGUCAUCUGUCAUAGCAAGAAUUUUACUCUUUUUACCACCCAGACUCAUUGCUAAACCUAUGUAAUCCUGAAAUGUAACUUUUAAGUGUGAUCUAUGGUUAUGAUUAGAUUUGUAGUAUCAAGUUGCUCUUGUAAACCUCUUUGUUUUCCUAAAAAUAUCCUGGGAGCAGAACCACUGGGACAAUAUUGCCCAGUUUAUUCUAAAAGCUUUGGUUUUUUGGUUUUUUUUGUUUUUUUUUCUUUUAAGACACAAGAAAACCCCACCCCAAAACAACCCCUAAAAUGAAAAGAAACCCCAACCCAAUUACUAUCGCAUAGUAAAAUUGCAUGUAAUGUUUAAUUAUCUAAUCGGAUUAGAUUAAAAAAUCCCAAACAAAAAAAAACCAAACAAAAACAUGGGAAAAGUAGUUGAGAACAAAACAGCCUGUAGGAGCUAGAAAAAGAAGGCAUAGAUUCAAACUUUUAACCGUGAACACAAAAACAUGUUCAGAGCAUCUGUCAGCUUCCUCAGAGUUAAAAUGCAAAGGCUCUAAGUUGUAACAUUCCUGAGAAAUCAGACAAAUAUUUUUCCCCUCCCCUCAUUCACAGGGGGCAUUGUGACAAAAUGAGAAUACUGCAGGUAUUUUGGAAAAAAAAUUUAUCAGUGCCUCAGACUGUAGCUUGCAGCUGCCAAGGGUCUGGAUUGUAUUCAGGACAUUCUAGAAAGUAAUGCAAAACAAACAUGAAAAAGUAAA